ACGAGGCUCGGAGAAGUUGUGGAAUUAGUUCGAACGAUUAAUUUUCGAAAAAACGAACGUUAUUUAGGGGCUCGCGAAAGUUGACUUUUUAUACGUUCAAAAUUUGGGAAAACUUUCUUCAUGAAAGUUGUAGAGCUCGUCGAUACGAUCGCGUGCAUAUGCGGAACGCAAAAAUCGGAGUUCGUAUGACUUAGUUAUGAUUUUUUGAAAAAGUUUCCAAUUUAGUAUAAAGCUUCCAUUUUUGGAAAUUUCCAAAAAUAAAAACAGAUUUUUCCAAAAUUGGAAAAUCUGCUGCGAUUUUAGUUCCCCGCCGGAAAUCGCCUCCAAAACUUCGAUCGACGAUUUCUUCCUCCUCCGGCCACCGAUCCUCACCAAACUUCUUCCAUUGGCUUCGUAUGGUCCUUGCGCACCUGUCUGUGGCAGCCUUUCACGGCGGCGCGGCCUGUAGCGGCGGCAGCAAGCCCGGUCCGAUUUAAGCUCGAUUUUGGUCAACGCCGGUUUUCUCCUAGCUCCGGCCACCAAAACUUCCGAUCCUUGGCUCCAUGAACUCCCCUCAACCUGCUGAUCAUCAUACUAGGAGGAUUGCACCUAGAGUGACCGGUUUCACGUUCGUCGGAGCUCGUGGGUUCCCCUUGAUGUUAUUAACAACUCUCUAGAAGGCAUCGAGGCCUGAAAUUGAAGCUUUGACGUCGAAAUCGAGCCUUGCCGGAUUCUGCAAAAUUCUGGAAUUUUUCCGACCACCGAAGCUUUCGAUCGGUAUAUCUCGAGCUACAGACCAUAUUUUUCUGUGAUUCUUGAACCAGUGAGUUCUUCUUGAGUUUCUUAACAACUCUUCAGAAGGAAUCGAAGCCUUAAAUUGACGUUUUUACGUCGAAUUGGAGCUCGCCGUUUUCUGCAGUUUCUCGCCGGUUUCUGGAAAAUUCCGGCCACCUUCAUACUGUUCAAGUGGCUUUGUGUGGUCAUGGGCGAAGAUCCGACCGUUGGAUCUUCGUAUAAUUGAGAAAUGGUGAUUCGGAAGGCGAUUCGUGAGAAUCCGACCGUCAGAUUUUCAUAUAAUUUUGUGGAGAUGUUUGUAAGGAUGAUUCGAGAAGAUCUGACCGUUGGAUCUUCAUUAUAAUUUUGGAGGAUGAUCCUAAGGGCGAUCCGUGAGGAUCUGACCGUUGGAUCAUCAUUAAAUUAAGAUUCGACCGUCGGAUCAUCAUAUAAUUAGAAUCCGACCGUUGGAUUUCAGUAUAUGUGUGGUUUAUGAG